GCAAACUUGGUCAUUUAGAGGAAGUAAAAGUCGUAACAAGGUCUCCGUUGGUGAACCAGCGGAGGGAUCAUUAAAGAGUUUUUACAACUCCCAAACCCCUGUGAACGUACCUCUUGUUGCCUCGGCAGGCCUCGCGCCACCCUGUAGCCCCUACGCUGUAGGGCCUACCCGGGGAGCGCGGGGGUCCCUGCCGGCGGCCUACGAAACUCUGUUUAGCACUGAAUUCUGAAUAUAUAACUAAAUAAGUUAAAACUUUCAACAACGGAUCUCUUGGUUCUGGCAUCGAUGAAGAACGCAGC
rnacentral:misc_RNA from 1 species